CGCCCAUCAAAAGUUGUCCCGCGCCGCACCCUGUUGCGUUGGGUCCCGCGGGAGUGCAGGUCUCUAGUUCAGACCUGACUGCGCAGAACUAGACCCAAUCAAUCGAUCUCAAAGCCGCGGUUUCAUUACCAAUUAAUUACAGUGCAAAAUUGACGGUUGUAAAAACUGUUGACAGCCUGUGGAUGGUUUUGAUGGAUGACGUGAACGCUGCAUGUUUGUAACACACACAGAACCGGUGACGUCUGUAACCCCUUUAAUAUCAUCUUUAUUCCAUACUGAUCCGCCUCAUGUUAAAAAUAAUUAAUUUUUAGAUCAUAUUUAAUAAAUAUCUUGUUCUUUUAUUGGU